UACGUAGGGUGCGAGCGUUGUCCGGAAUUACUGGGCGUAAAGAGCUCGUAGGUGGUUUGUCGCGUUGUUCGUGAAAACUCACAACUCAAUUGUGGGCGUGCGGGCGAUACGGGCAGACUGGAGUACUGCAGGGGAGACUGGAAUUCCUGGUGUAGCGGUGGAAUGCGCAGAUAUCAGGAGGAACACCGGUGGCGAAGGCGGGUCUCUGGGCAGUAACUGACGCUGAGGCGCGAAAGCGUGGGGAGCAAACAGG
rnacentral:rRNA from 1 species